CGAGGCGCCCGCGGCUCUUGCUCGGCUCGCAGUUGCACAACCUUGAGCCCGUGGAAACUUGAAGCCGCGUGUCCUGCUGACCCUCGGUACCCGGGCACCUCUGCACCCUCUCUCUCCAACCUCCACCCCCUUCCCUCCCGGGCGCCACCAAGAUCCCGGCCUUGUACUCGGCCCUGCGUCCUCCCCUCGGCUCCUAGACGAGCUAGGUGCAGCUUGGAAGCCGGCUCAGAGGGUUGGGAACGGUUUCGCCUGGGAAGGCCUGCAGUGCUGGGCCUGUGAAGAUGGAGAGCUUUUUGGCUUGUGUCCGAUUGCAGCUCGGCUGCCUUCAUAUUUGAUGCUGGCUUCACUGUGCAGAGACUGUGGCUGGCAGCCAUCUUCCAGCACAGUUGAGAGUCACCGAGCUAUGGAUGCUACAGUGUUAGGCUGAAGAUACAGAGGAUGAUUGCAUGGCUCUUUGACAACACCGUCAGAAGGUUGAUUGUUAACAACUGUAAUUUUCACCAAGAAACAAAUCAUCAUUUCCAGUUUCCCCGGAUGUGCCGUGCAUCUCUGCUGCCUGUUAUGCUUCUAUGAGGAUAUGUUCUGGUGGAAUCACCGCAAGUUGAAAAUUUUCAUUAAUUCAAACUACAGAAACGAAGAAAGGCCAGUGAGAGACGAUGGUUCGUGAAGUCGUGUUUAUUGAGCAUGUACAAUACACAUUGGCCAUUGUGGGUGAAGCAGAGCCACUGAGGAAUGAAGUGAGCUCACUCCAUGGGUAAAGGGCACACCUCUGCCUUGAGUAGUUGGCCCCUUCCCUUCCAGGCUCUUGCAGUAGAGUUUUGUUUGGUUGGUUUUAGUCUGAUGUUUUCCUACUGGGAUGUUAAUCAGGAUGCCUGAAACAGAUGGCAUCUUCAUAUGGACAGUUGAGUACAGAGUAGCAGCAGCAGCAUGCUGAUAAAAUAAUGGCAGGGUAAAGGAGACAGAAGGGAGGUUGUGAAACAUUUGGGUUUGGGCUAAAGGAUAAGUGGAGUCCGCAGUUCAGGAAUCCUUUGAGAGGGAGCCUCAUGGGGAGGGUCUCUAGAUAGGAUCUGUGGUCCGUGCUAGAAGGAUGCAGCCAUGUCCCAGUGACUUAGAAGAAGGAGUCAAGAGACCUCACCACCAUCUCCUCCUUUUAACUUCCUGCUAGUGCCUCCAUUGUAAAACCUACCCAGGAGCUGGAGGUCCAACAAAGCCCACUCAUGGAUGCCGUUACUCAGCCUCCAGGGGGCACACUGGAGGCCGAGAAGGUUAGCAUUGGGU